CCUUAAAGGCUUCUUCCCCUGGAGCUUGCCCCAUCUGGAAGUGGACCCCGGGCACCAUCUGGUCACACGCAGAGCCCCAAACCAGCCAGCUUUCAGUGUCUCCACCCAGAGAGAAGGUGGGUUUUCGUACCUUGAAGUGAAUGAAUU
rnacentral:lncRNA from 1 species